CAACAUCAACAUAAUUUCACAACAGUUUACAAAUUUUCAAUCUUUCAGUUAGGUCAAGAUAUUUUUACAAUAAAUUAAUAUUUUAAUGUUAUUAAGUUGAAAAUUAAAAAUAUUUAGCCAAAUGAGAUAUCAGUGUAGUGGUCAUAAAUACAGUACAGUUUAUAUGGACGUUGAAGACAGGAUAAUAAGUUAUUCAAUAAAUAAACAACUGAAUUACAGUUGAUUAAUAAUAAAUUAUAAUGAGACUUUUUUAAAUAAAAUUAAACAAAAUAUAAAGAGAUUGGAGAUGAUACUACGAUGUCUAACAGCAGGGGUUUUGCACAAAAUCCAAUUAACUUCAACAACAAAUAUUCAAAUAUAGUGUCAAAAAUCCGUCUAUGGAUUACAGUGUCCAUGGAGAAAUAUAUGAUAUGUCCAUUUAAUCUUCCUCUGGUCACAUUCUAGCUGAAAAAACAA